ensembl:snRNA U6 U6 spliceosomal RNA
GUGCUCGCUUCGGCAGCACAUAUACUAAAAUUGGAGCGAUACAGAGAUUACCAUGGUCCCCGUGCAAGGGUGACAUGCACAUUCAUGAAGCAUUCCAUGUUUUU